UACAGAGGUGGCAAGCGUUGUUCGGAAUCACUGGGCUUAAAGCGUGUGUAGGCAGAUCAGUAAGUGUCUUGUGAAAUCCCUCGUCUCAACCGAGGAACUGCUGGGCAAACUACUAAUCUUGAGGUAGGCAGGGGUGCUUGGAACUCUUGGUGGAGCGGUGAAAUGCGUAGAUAUCAAGAGGAACGCCUGUGGCGAAAGCGGAGCACUGGGCCUAUUCUGACGCUGAGACACGAAAGCGUGGGGAGUGAACGGGAUUAGAUACCCCGGUAAUCCACGCUGUAAACGAUGCAUACUUGGUGUUGGGAACUCUGACGUUCUCAAGACCGAAACAAAAGCGUUAAGUAUGCCGCCUGGGGAGUACGGUCGCAAGGCUAAA
rnacentral:rRNA from 1 species